rnacentral:rRNA from 1 species
UACGUAGGAUGCAAGCGUUGUCCGGAAUUAUUGGGCGUAAAGAGCGAGCAGGCGGUUCGACAAGUCAGAUGUAAAAUAUCCCGGCUUAACCGGGAGGGGCCAUUUGAAACUGUCGGACUAGAGUGGAGCAGAGGAUAGUGGAAUUCCCGGUGUAGUGGUGAAAUGCGUAGAUAUCGGGAGGAACACCAGUGGCGCAAGCGGCUGACUGGCCGAGACCUGACGCUGAGACGCGACGGCGUGGGGAGCAAACCGG